UACGUAGGGGGCAAGCGUUGUCCGGAAUUACUGGGCGUAAAGAGCGUGUAGGCGGCCAAGCAGGUCCGUUGUGAAAACUGGAGGCUUAACCUCCAGACGUCGACGGAAACCGCGUGGCUAGAGUCCGGAAGAGGAAAGUGGAAUUCCUGGUGUAGCGGUGAAAUGCGCAGAUAUCAGGAAGAACACCAAUGGCGAAAGCAGCUUUCUGGGACGGUACUGACGCUGAGACGCGAAAGCGUGGGGAGCGAACAGG
rnacentral:rRNA from 1 species